UACGUAGGUGGCAAGCGUUAUCCGGAAUUAUUGGGCGUAAAGAGGGAGCAGGCGGCAGCAAAGGUCUGUGGUGAAAGACUGAAGCUUAACUUCAGUAAGCCAUAGAAACCGGGCAGCUAGAGUGCAGGAGAGGAUCGUGGAAUUCCAUGUGUAGCGGUGAAAUGCGUAGAUAUAUGAAGGAACACCGGUGGCGAAAGCGGCUCUCUGGCCUGUAACUGACACUGAGGCUCGAAAGCGUGGGGAGCAAACAGG
rnacentral:rRNA from 1 species